rnacentral:rRNA from 1 species
CAAUAGCGUAUAUUAACGUUGUUGCAGUUAAAAAGCUCGUAGUUGGAUUUCUGGAGGGAGCGUCGGCCCGUAUUUACGAGUGCGUGACGUCUCUGUCCAUCCUUGCGGGAAGGCACGGCAUUGAUUUGUUGUGUCGGAUCGCAUCAUUUACUGUGAAAAAAUUAGAGUGUUCAAAGCAGGCUUUCGCUUGAAUACAUUAAUAAGAUAGGACUUUGGUGCUAUUUUGUUGGUUGAGCCUAAAGUAAUGAUUAAUAGGGAUAGUUGGGGGCACCUGUAUUGCGUUGUCAGAGGUGAAAUUCUUGGAUUUACGCAAGACAAACAGCUGCGAAAGCGUCUGCCAAGGAUGUUUUCAUUAA